UCACUUCAGUGCAAAUUUUUGGGCUUUUAUUGUAUUCAAUCCCUUGAUACCUCGAAAGUACAAAAGCAGCUGCCAUCUUCUUUCCGGGUCUCUAGUUGAUUGAAUAGGGGCAGCUGUAAUACCCCAAAAUUUACCCUUCAUUUUUCCUGAGAAAAAACGAAAAAAAAAACGAAAAAAAAUGAAAAAAAAAAGUUAAAAAUAAAUAAAUAAAUAAAAUUAAUUAAAUAAAUAAAUAAAAUAUAACAAAUUUUUUGGACUUGGGUCUCCCUCAUUUGAG
rnacentral:lncRNA from 1 species